rnacentral:rRNA from 1 species
UACGUAGGGCGCAAGCGUUGUCCGGAAUUAUUGGGCGUAAAGAGCUCGUAGGCGGUUUGUCGCGUCUGCUGUGAAAACCCGAGGCUCAACCUCGGGCCUGCAGUGGGUACGGGCAGACUAGAGUGCGGUAGGGGAGAUUGGAAUUCCCGGUGUAGCGGUGAAAUGCGCAGAUAUCGGGAGGAACACCGGUGGCGAAGGCGGUUCUCUGGGCCUUACCUGACGCUGAGGAGCGAAAGCGUGGGGAGCGAACAGG